CAGUAGCCGCGGUAAUACCGAGGGUGCGAGCGUUAAUCGGAUUUACUGGGCGUAAAGCGUGCGUAGGCGGCUUUUUAAGUCGGAUGUGAAAUCCCUGAGCUUAACUUAGGAAUUGCAUUCGAUACUGGGAAGCUAGAGUAUGGGAGAGGAUGGUAGAAUUCCAGGUGUAGCGGUGAAAUGCGUAGAGAUCUGGAGGAAUACCGAUGGCGAAGGCAGCCAUCUGGCCUAAUACUGACGCUGAGGUACGAAAGCAUGGGGAGCAAACAGGAUUAGAUACCCGCGUAGUCCCUGUCUCUUAUAC
rnacentral:rRNA from 1 species